CCGAUGACUCGGGGAUAGCCUUUCGAAAGAAAGAUUAAUACCCGAUGGCAUAGUUCUUCCGCAUGGUAGAACUAUUAAAGAAUUUCGGUCAUCGAUGGGGAUGCGUUCCAUUAGGUUGUUGGCGGGGUAACGGCCCACCAAGCCUUCGAUGGAUAGGGGUUCUGAGAGGAAGGUCCCCCACAUUGGAACUGAGACACGGUCCAAACUCCUACGGGAGGCAGCAGUGAGGAAUAUUGGUCAAUGGACGAGAGUCUGAACCAGCCAAGUAGCGUGAAGGAUGACUGCCCUAUGGGUUGUAAACUUCUUUUAUACGGGAAUAAAGUGAGGCACGUGUGCCUUUUUGUAUGUACCGUAUGAAUAAGGAUCGGCUAACUCCGUGCCAGCAGCCGCGGUAAUACGGAGGAUCCGAGCGUUAUCCGGAUUUAUUGGGUUUAAAGGGAGCGUAGGCGGACGCUUAAGUCAGUUGUGAAAGUUUGCGGCUCAACCGUAAAAUUGCAGUUGAUACUGGGUGUCUUGAGUACAGUAGAGGCAGGCGGAAUUCGUGGUGUAGCGGUGAAAUGCUUAGAUAUCACGAAGAACUCCGAUUGCGAAGGCAGCCUGCUGGACUGUAACUGACGCUGAUGCUCGAAAGUGUGGGUAUCAAACAGGAUUAGAUACCCUGGUAGUCCACACAGUAAACGAAGAGUACUCGCUGUUUGCGAUAUACAGUAAGCGGCC
rnacentral:rRNA from 1 species